rnacentral:misc_RNA from 1 species
GAAAUGGGAUGAGUAGUGUGAAUUGCAGAAUUCCGUGAAUCAUCGAAUAUUUGAACGCACAUUGCGCCCUCUGGUAGGUCCAUUGGACAUGCCUGUUCGAGCGUCUGUUCCCCCCUAUCUCAAGCACUGCUUGGUGAUGGGCUCUUGUCCCGCCCUGCUGCUCGCGGACUGGCCUCAAAACCAUUGGCGGCCGGCAUCCGUUUUUCGCACGCAGUAUACCGCGCGAGUGGAAUUAGGAAGCCCGGCGUCCACAAAAAGGACCCCCAAGAUUGACCUCGGAUCAGGUAGGGAUACCCGCUGAACUUAA